GUAUGCUACUGCCCUUCGUUCUUCCAGGAACGGUUACUGGAGUAUCUGGUUUAAAAAAAAAUAAAAAAGAAAAAGUAGCAAAAACUGACUAGGGCUGUCAGCGAUAAUGAGUUACCCAGGUGCUUCUGGCUUUGCAAUUUGUCAUGCUUGCUGCUCCACAUGUUUUAACCCCCUUCAUCCUUUGUAGCAAGUUUGCAGAAGAGAGGAUGGUCCAAAUUACUGGGUCUGAGGAUGGGCUAGCUGCAUGAAAGUGUGCUGGAGCGUGCUUUCUGGAAAUCAUUUUGAGACAGACAAAGCUUCCUGUGCCGUGAAGCUGUGUGGCAGAACAGGAGCAGUCCUUAAAGUCAACGAGGAAGAUAAGCUUGUGGAGCUGCGAUUCCUAACGCCGAGCUUCGUGGCAGGCAUAACACAUAGCUGA
rnacentral:lncRNA from 1 species